GAUGAACGCUAGCUACGGGCUUAACACAUGCAAGUCGAGGGGAAACGACAUCGAAAGCUUGCUUUUGAUGGGCGUCGACCGGCGCACGGGUGAGUAACGCGUAUCCAACCUGCCCAUCACUUGGGAAUAACCUUGCGAAAGUAAGACUAAUACCCAAUGAUAUCCCACGAAGGCAUCGGAAUGGGAUUAAAGAUUUAUCGGUGAUGGAUGGGGAUGCGUCUGAUUAGCUUGUUGGCGGGGUAACGGCCCACCAAGGCAACGAUCAGUAGGGGUUCUGAGAGGAAGGUCCCCCACAUUGGAACUGAGACACGGUCCAAAAUCCUACGGGAGGCAGCAGUGAGGAAUAUUGGUCAAGGGGCGAGAGCCUGAACCAGCCAAGUAGCGUGCAGGAAGACGGCCCUAUGGGUUGUAAACUGCUUUUAUAAGGGAAUAAAGUGGGUCACGUGUGACUUUUUGCAUGUACCUUAUGAAUAAGGACCGGCUAAUUCCGUG
rnacentral:rRNA from 1 species